rnacentral:sRNA from 1 species
CACAAGAUGUGUCCCCUGGUCUCAUUACAGCAAUUCAAUAGAGUUAGUCAACAGAAGCUUCAAGGAUCAAGACAAUUGCCUUGAAGGUAAUUGAACCAAGAAAAAAAAAAGAGAUGUCAACUGUUGACUCUAGUACUGUAAAAAGAGACACCCAAGGUUCGAGCCUUAUCAGGGAAAUAUUACCCGGCAGAGAAACAGGGCUGACGGAGGGGCAGCAAAGAACAAGAUAAAUUUGCCUCUGUAAGACGGAGAUAAUAAAAACGAAGAGUGGAAUGAGACAGGGACCGGGAUUCUCUCCUCCGACUGGUUAACUUAUUUUUAUUAUUUUCCGUCCAUUCUGUUAUCAUUUUUUAGGAGGGAGAUGCUCAGUUGACAUGGUUGACAACGCAUCAGACAACAAGCCCCCGGCCACGAACCGCAACUCUCCAAUUGUUGUUGGAACUCGCUAAGUUGAGUCGCUUCAAUCCGCGCAUUUUAUCGGAUGGAGCGUGCAGAAGGCCCAUCAAGAUGUCAAAGUCGUGAAUAAUGAACUAGUUAACUAACAGUUGGCGCAUUUUCGCGACGCUUAACUAUUUAAUUAAGUCAACAAGAGGGAAGAUCUGCAGUGUUGAUGACCAAUAACGCUAUCUGCUGCGUGUGCCCAUCACCCGUCGUCCCGCGAUGGGUCGCUGCAGAUGGAGAGGCGAUGACUUCGGCUCUCUGUCAGCGGGGAAUCCUCGAAUUUUUGUCGUUGUCGUCGUUGCUGCUGAUUUUUCGAUGAAAGCUUCUUUGUGGUUUGUGUGCCAUCGACCUUUGCCUUGUUUUGCCUUGUUUUGACGAUGCGCGAUGCGGCACGCUCUUUGACAAGUCCUUUUUUUCCCUUGCUUGAUCCCAUAACCACCAGUAGUUAGUACUUUGAUUUUCAUUUUCUUUUGAGUGACUUGUGGUUUGCUGCUGGUUGGGACAUUGCCAGGGAUAACAUCGUCCUCCAGCAAACGUACGCAUGCACAGUAGGUUAAGCGAAGAAAGCUGAUGUCAAAAAAGACCGUGACGAAAUGGAAAUUGAUCAAUAUCGACAUAUGCAUUGCAACACCACAUCUCCCUAGCCUCGGCAGAGCACACAACACGGUACAUUAUAUGUGUAACAAGAUAAAAAUACAAUGUGACUGGGCAAUGAGAACAUCCAACUAAUAUUCCGGGCCAUUGCUUGUGCAGUUUCACAAAUGGUCCCAUUUGGCCCUGUUUUUGUGAGGAGGGAGAGGGAACGGAGAAAUGUAAUUUUUUUUAACUCUUAUUUUUAUUUUUAUUUUCUUCUUGAUUUUGCACUUGUUAAUGUUUAUUUCUAUUCACUUUGGGCGUGUGGUAGAUCGUCGUCGGGUAACAAUUGAAUCACGGGCUCUGAAUCAAGGAUCCGGUUGCCAGCCCACGUUGGAAAGCGAGCAGAUGCCAACCCUGAUCAACCACGGGAUCACACCCGCCGACGACGGGGCGCUUUUUUAUUUUUAUUUUUCUUUUCUUUUUCUUUUCUUUUCAACCUCGAUUCAAUUCAAUUUAAUUAACUAUUUAAAAUUUUUCUUUAGCGGGA